UAAUUUCCAAAUAUUAGUAUUAUAUAUUUUAUAAAAUCCCGUUUUUGCUAAAUUAAAAUAUAACCUGGGAAUUAUAUUAAUUAAUUAUUUCGGUAUAAAUCGAUUUGUUUUUUUUCGUAUUUAUACGGGUUACUGGUUUUUUUUAUAUUAUAUAUAUUUAAAAUUACGUUUUUUUUAUCGUUGAAAUUUUCUUUUAUACCAUUAUUUAAUUUUUCGGUUAAUAAUUAAUUUAUUAUUUUAAUACGGUGGAUUUAUCUUAAUAAUUCCGCGUUUAAAUUUCCUAAAACGUCCGAAUUUAUAAAUUCGGGUAAUUUGGCGUUUUAUCGGUAUAAAUUAAUUGGUUGUUUUAUUUUAAUAAAUAUUUGAUUUUUUACCGUUAAAAUUUAAAUAUUUCGGAAUUUUUAUAAAUAUUGACCUGCGUCGUUUGUAAAAAUUAUUAUAAAUUAUAUAAUUAUCGUUAUAAUAAAUAGUCCAAUUUAUUAUAUAAUAUUAAUUAGGUUAUAUCUAAUUAUAAUUGGUGGUAUUAAAUUUUUGUAAUUUUCCGGAUUUACCCCUAAAAUUAAUAAUAAAUCCAGGGGUAUUAUUAUAUAUUUCGGGAUAAUUUCGCGCGAUAUAUUCCGGUUUAUUACAUUUAAAAUAUUUGCCAUUUUUGGGGUUUUUGCGAGAUUAUUAAUAUUAAAUUGCGUUUAAAUUUAUAGGUCCGUUAUAUAUAUUAUACGCGGUAUUAUAUUAGCGAAACGGUUUGGGGUAUUAAUAUUUGCGUUUUAUAUUAAUUUGUCGCAAAAUUGGACUUUAUACGCUGCGUUUUUCGCGUCGUUCCAAUUUUCGUUCGUAUAAUUAAUUAUCGAUUUUAACCGCUAAUUCCACAUAUUUUAUUAAUGUAUUGGGUCGUUUUUUUUUAACCAAUUUGUUUUUUAUUUUUUUUAAAUUCCGUAUAAAAAUAUAUUAUUAAAAUCUUUUUAUACUAUAAUAAUUUGGUUGUAAUUUGUCGAAAUUUACUAAUAUAUUUAAAUACCGAUUUGGUUUGGGUAAAACGUAUUAGUUUACGUUUAACCGUACGUUUUUCGUUUAAAUUACGGAAUAUUUUUUUAAAAUAUUUUUCGAAAUUGUCGUAAUUGUCGAAAAUGCGGUUGGUUUUAAUUUUA
rnacentral:sRNA from 1 species